AGCUCCGCCCUGAGUCAUAGGCUAUAAUCGCGGCGGGGCGGGACCGUGGGAGGGAUCGGAGGCGGGGAUUUGCCACCCGCCCCUCCUUCUCAUCUUUUCCCGGCUGUCCCUCCCUGCAGCUGUCCUGUUUGCGGCCCCGGACGUCCCGGGGCCUGUGCGUCCCGCCGUCAGUGGGCGCGCACCGGUGUCCUUGUGCACCCAGGCUGGUUUUGGUCUCCACACUCACCGCAAUUCCUUCGUGCCGCGUGGAAUGUCCCGGGGCUGGCAGUCCGAGGGUCGGGCGCAUGUUGCACAGCCUCUGUGACUUCUCCGGAGUUCUGGAAUGCUGAUCUGACGUCACAACAAAGUGCUGUGGAAACUCACCUGCCUGCUUAGAAACACGGAAGAACAAAGGAAUGAAGUGAUGUCUAUGACCGUGGCCUUCUCCAGGAUAGACACUUUCACACCGUGAUUAGCCUUAAAACAUAAAACUUAAAA